rnacentral:rRNA from 1 species
UACAGAGGGCGCGAGCGUUGUCCGGAAUCACUGGGCGUAAAGGGCGCGUAGGUGGCCACUAUAAGGCCGCGGUGAAAGUUCGGGGCUCAACCCUGAAUCUGCCGCGGCGACUGUAGGGCUUGGGCAUCGUAGAGGCAGAUGGAAUUCCGGGUGUAGCGGUGGAAUGCGCAGAUAUCGGGAGGAACACCUGAGGCGAAGGCGGGCUACUGGGCCGAUACUGACGCUGAUGCGCGAAAGCCAGGGGAGCGAACGGG